GACGAACGCUGGCGGCGUGCCUAAUACAUGCAAGUCGAGCGAAGUUUUUCUGGUGCUUGCACCGGAAAAACUUAGCGGCGAACGGGUGAGUAACACGUAAAGAACCUGCCUCAUAGACUGGGACAACUAUUGGAAACGAUAGCUAAUACCGGAUAACAGCAUUAACUGCAUGGUUGAUGUUUAAAAGUUGGUUUUGCUAACACUAUGAGAUGGCUUUGCGGUGCAUUAGCUAGUUGGUGGGGUAAAGGCCUACCAAGGCGACGAUGCAUAGCCGACCUGAGAGGGUGAUCGGCCACACUGGGACUGAGACACGGCCCAGACUCCUACGGGAGGCAGCAGUAGGGAAUCUUCCGCAAUGGGGGAAAGCCUGACGGAGCAACGCCGCGUGAGUGAAGAAGGAUUUCGGUUCGUAAAGCUCUGUUGUUAGGGAAGAAUGAUUGUGUAGUAACUAUACACAGUAGAGACGGUACCUAACCAGAAAGCCACGGCUAACUACGUG
rnacentral:rRNA from 1 species